UUUAUUAUUUUUAUAACUGUAUUACAAAAUUUUGAACCAAUUUUCUUUACACUGGACUAUUUUCUCAUUAUAAUUGAGGGUUCCUUCCGGCGCUUUCGGUAUGGGUGAUACAUCCUUAGGACAAUUAUUUGAUCUGAUUGCACAGGUUUGAGUCAAAUGGUUAUAUUUAGCCGCUGAACAUGGAAGUGCCUUUCUGGUCAUUUGGAUGUGUGUCGGUCUUUUCAGGUGAGCAUAUCGUGCCUGGACCAGUCGCCCGCAUGAACACCAACAUGUUUUACCAACAUAAUGCGGCGAACGGUUAAAACAACUUAUUUGAGUAAACAGUAAUCCACCAGUCUGGGUUAAUUUUAUAAGCGUUGCUGUGGUUCCUUCUAUACAUUUCCUCCGGGUUUUUUUUUCUUUUAGUAAAUGACCUUCUAUUAACCUGUUCGUUAUUUGCGUCCAGACAUUGGGGUCGAAAUCGAUGCAUUAAACAAAUAAACCUCGCUCCAUCCAGAUCCCUGCUUUCAGAGAGCAAUAAGAAAAUAAUUUUCGUCUGCCGAGCAAGAAGGCGGCUGGAAAGCAGAAAGACAAAUAUUAUUUUUACUACAUUGUGUGAAAUACGAUUUAGGCGGAUCUGUCAAUGUGUGCAUUUGAAGACUGUUGUGGUAGUGCUCUGAACUCCCAGGGGCCAAAUUGAAAUUGUUCUUUGUCUUCAUAAACUUAUCAUGAGGUACCGUGCCAGCUUUGGACUGUUGACUUUGAAAACGAGAAAGCUAGAAAGUUAUACAGACUGGUUGCUUUGCUUGGAAAUAUUUGUCUUUGACUUUUCCCGCUAUUUGCACUUCAGUCACUAUAUUCAACACGCACUUUAGUCCGUCAAUAUACUUCAUGACUUUUCCCAUGAAUUUUCGCCAACGUCCGAUGUAAUGCUUUCUUGUUUAUCUGCGUUCCCUCUCUUCAGGAACUGAGAUUGGCAGAUAGCUUUAGCUGGAUUUCAGCGAGAUUCGGAUUUCCACAGUUGCACGGAGUCCUUCGCGCAGACCAGUGCACAACUGAUUCUACUUGAUGCAUGCAGAGACGCGGGUGGUCUCGAAACAGGGUAGCACGUUGGCCGGGAAAGCCAAGAAUGGAAGAUCAGUUUGCAUAGCGCCGGUAAUAAGGAGUUUCAGAAUAACUGGAACCUGUUAAAAUGUGUACAUUUUUGCGUUAUACCUCACCCUCUUCGCUAUAAUCUGAAAACAAACGAAGCUAAAAACAAAUACCUGCAUUUUCCAACAGAUACUUGAUCCGGUAUAUUUACAGUUUUGUAUGGAUCGUACCUAUGCCUGUCAUUCACCAGUCAUGAACGAUAGCGUCCAUCACCUUCUGUACACAUACGUUAAAAUACAGAUAAUAUUUUGAUAGACUUGACAUAUUUCUGUGCUUAUGUGUGUUGGUAAGGCUUUUCGAUUUCUUUUUUCGUUCUAACUACUUGUAGGUACCGUGCCAAUGCAUAUUUUUCUAAUAUGUGUUUUAUUACUAUGUAUAAUAUUUAUCAAACGAAUAUGAUUAUGUUUACAUAUGUAACAUUGUACUAGCCUAUGUUAUUUCUGUAAGUAGUAUGUGUACGUGUGCGUGUGAAUAUAUUUUCUUUAUUAUUUAAUAUUUUAUAUCUCUCUUUAAAGAUCUGUUUAUUUUGUCUACUGCUGAGUUGCCACCCGGGCCUUAGGUUGCUGCCGUUGUUCCAUACUCAGGACUCGGGGCUCAACUGGAUAAAGAAGUUUAACAAAUGCAAAUCCUAUUUGUUUUUCCAAAAAACUGAAACAAAAAUGGAAAGAGCUGUUGGUAAUAACGGUUAACACAUGAUUUAUCGAUUUAGGUUUAGAUUAUAGGUUUCAGGAUUUAUGUUUACUUUACGGCUUUAUGAACUUUUCUGCUGGGACCACACAAGUGAAAUUCGCAGCCAGCGCUAAUGGGAAAAAAUCUGCUUUCCCCUGUGACAUGGGCAGUGUGAAAAAGGAUACUUUAUUGUGCCUAACGGAGAUCAUUUCGCCUCUCUGGGAAUUACAAACCUUCCUAGUAAGCCAUUUACAGCAGUAAGGGAAUGGGGAAAAUCAUUCCCCUGGUGUAAAGUUGCAACUCGAAGUAAUUUGUGAAUUAUGUCAUUUCCAGACUCCAGUAUUUUCAGUAAAGACCAAGUCGGCAAAGAAAAUGUGAUUUUCCUUCAAUGUCAGAUGACUUACUGGAAACAAAAUUAGGCACUUAUCCCCAGACAUUAGUAUAAAAUACCAGCCACCAACUCUGAUCAGUUUUUACUUGUAAUGGCUGGGUGGAGGUGUUAAAGAAAUCAUAUCAAAUCAAAUUCAUAAUUCGCAAUAAUGCCAUUUAUGACGGAGUCUAAUUCCGGCCCGACUUAGUUUAUUUCUCUAUAGAUGACUUCCGCAGUUGUAUCUAAAUCCUGAAGCUUCACAAAUCCGCGAAGUGCUUCAGCUAUAUGACAAAAUGGAGCCUCCCUGCAAGGAAGCACUAAAUUGGCACUCCUGCCUCUAUAGGAAAACAGAACAAAUUUGCACUUCCCUUUAGUCCCGAAUUGCUUAGUAGCUGUUGUAACUCAGCUGAAUGAAGCGGACCCCCAUAGUUUAGCUUCUUGUUUAAUUUCCACCCUCCCCACCCCCGCCCCC